UUUUUUUUUUUGACUAACAGCCAAUCAUCGUUAUACAGCUGAACUCUUUGUUUAGCUCUUCCUAGAUGAAUCUGGAAACGGUUUGUGCUCUUCAGAGGCGUUUCUGACCACUAGAAACUUCCAUAGAACUUUCCACAGAGCUUUGUCAAAGGUAUCCAGCACACAUGAACAGAAGUUUCUGAUGUAUGCAUGUCUUACAAUGGAGUACCAUGGAUGGAGUUGGUUCUGUAAUCUUUUAAAACCACCUCAACUCUCAUACUUACCUUGGAUCAGCCAUCCCACCUUGAGGAUUUUAGAGGAUAUUUUCAAAGUGUCUUCUCUUUAUCACCACCCAAUGGAAAAUGUACUAACGGAGAAAGAGAGAGAGGCUGUUGUGGAUGUUCAUGCUGGCAGCGCGGAUCGUGGCAUCUGUUGAUGAAGAAACAGCAUACUGCUCUUCAGCAUGCCUAAGUCAGGUUUCUUCUUUUCUCCUUCCCAAAACAAAUUUUGAUAUCUUUGAGUGUUGUGAUCUGUUAUUCUUUCCUUUAAAUUAGUUGUGAUAUAUACCUUUAAGCCUAAAUUACAAAUAUUAAGGUGAUCUUUGCAAGGUGACUUCUAAACAUGGAAACAUAUAUAAAAAAAAUAAAAAAUGUUGUAGUGUAUUUUGAUUCAUUUUGAGUAAUAUACAGUAUGUGCACAUUGUUUAUUUUUUAUAUCUAUUGUAUUAUAUUGCCAGUCUAUAAUUGUUUUGAAUGUUGUAGUUAUUUUAAUGUUUCAUAUGGACAGUCUAAUGUAAAGUGUUAAUUAUGGAUGUUAAUUGCACAAAUAAAGAGUC